AGUGAACGCUGGCGGCAGGCCUAAUACAUGCAAGUCGAGCGAACAGACGAGGAGCUUGCUCCUCUGCCGUUAGCGGCGGGCGGACGAGUAACAAGUGGAUAACCAACCUCUAAGACGUGGGUAACAUCGGGGAGAAGGUGCUACUACCGGAUAAUAUAUUCUACCGGAUGGAUCAAUAGUGCAUGACGGUUUUGCUGUCACUUAGAGCUGGAUCCGCGCCGCAUUAGCGAGUGGGUAAGGUAACGGCUAACCAAGGCAACGAUGCGUAGCCGACCUGAGAGGAUGAUCGGCCACACUGGAACUGAGACACGGUCCAGACUCCUACGGGAGGCAGCAGUAGGGAAUCUUCCGCAAAGGGCGAAAGCUUGACGGAGCAACGCCGCGUGAGUGAUGAAGGCCUUCGGAUCGUAAAACCCUGUUAUUAGGAAAGAAAAAAUGUGUAUGUAACUACGCACGUCUUGACGGUACCUAAACAGAAAGCCACGGCUAACUUCGUG
rnacentral:rRNA from 1 species